GCUGAAGGAGAGGACUGGUUCAAGCCAGUACGCCAUCACCAAAUUCGUGGAGGAGAAGCACAAGCAGUUGCCUCAGAGCUUCAGGAAGCUUCUGCUUCUCAACCUGAAGAAGCUCGUCGCCUCCGGCAAGCUCGUCAAGGUCAAAGCCUCCUUCAAGCUCCCUCCUCGCUCCUCCGCCGCCGCGGCCUCUGCUGCUCCGGCGAAGGAGAAGACCAAGCCGGAAGCUUCCAAGGCUAAGAAGUCCACCGCCGCCGCCGCGAAGACUACUUCUAAGCCGAAGGCGAAAACCGUCGCGAAACCGAAGGCUAAAACCGUCGCGAAAUCCAAGGCGAAAACCGUGGCGAAACCGAAGGCGGCGGCGAAACCGAAGG
rnacentral:lncRNA from 1 species